GAUGAAGAACGCAGCGAAAUGCGAUACUUGGUGUGAAUUGCAGAAUCCCGUGAACCAUCGAGUCUUUGAACGCAAGUUGCGCCCGAAGCCAUCAGGUUGAGGGCACGUCUGCCUGGGCGUCACAUAUCGUUGCCCAAUGCCUAUUGCAGUGCAAUAGGAAUUUCUAGGGCGAAUGAUGGCUUCCCGUGAGCGUUGUUGCCUCGCGGUUGGUUGAAAAUCGAGUCCUUGGUAGGGUGUGCCAUGGUAGAUGGUGGUCGAGUUAGAACGAUACCGAUCAUGUGCAUGCUCCCCAAAAUAUGGCCUCUAUGACCCACACGCGUCUUUUGACGCUCAUGACGAGACCUCAGGUCAGGCGGGGCUACCCGCUGAAUUUAAGCAUAUCAUAAGCGGAGGAA
rnacentral:misc_RNA from 1 species